UCCUAGAUGCUGGGGACCACUUUGUUUUGGUGGCCACUAUCUUCGCUCUCUUUGUCCUUCUUCUGUCUCAUUCUCUUGCAAAGGGUUUCCUAUCCAAGGAGUGCCUGAUGCAGGCUUCAGAAUGAAAGAAUAAAUGAAAGAAUCAGUCGCUCAGCUAACUCAAUAACCUGUUAAUCUAGUUAACAGUUUUUAAAACUUAGGUCUUCUUGUAUCACAGAGAACCAGAUAUCUUAAGAAAUAUAGGUGCACCCAUUUCUAAGGAAAAAAAAAGACAUUGAGUUAAAGGUAUUACAAGAAUUCACAGUGAAGAGGGAUGAGUGUUCACUUUCUAAAAGAAAUGUUUGCUUUAUCAAUAGCCUUGCCAUAACGUUUCUUUAUGGUGUGAGUUCCUGUCUGUAAAAUACUUGAAAUGUAGUCAACCAUUUAGUAAUGCAGCCACUAAGUGAGGAGAGAGAGAGGUGCAGGCAGCAGCAACCACACCGCUCUUACCUGCCUUGGCUGCAGUGGGCAGAGACCUCCUUGUGCUUAAAAGCACCCCUCUGAGGACGGCGGUGAUUACGGCUGCCUCCUGCUGCAGAGCCACACUGCAGCCUGGCAGAGGCUGAUCCCUUUACAUCAUUCACAGGGUAUUGUGAUGCACAUUGGCUUACAGAGCUAGGGAGAGUAGAGAUCCUUUGGUCGCUAGGGAGAGUCCAGCUGCAUGUGAAAGAAAGGGCAAAAAUGAGCGUGAAAAGGAAAAUCCUGGAGGCAAAUAAUCCCGGCUGUCUAAUCCCCGGAGCUUUCUUUCUGUAAAGAUUGUCCCAAGCACAACGUAAGGUGAAAAUCUGGUGUCACACUGAGGAGUCCUGCCCUCUACAAGCUAGAACUGAGGAAGCGGUUUGGCACCAAGGGAAAGAUGAGGCCAGCUCUGCCUGGUCCAAGACUAGAUUAGGCUCCAAGCUGCUCCUCUGAAGAGUCUCACUCUGUCGCCCAGGCUGGCAUGAUAUCAGCUCACUGCAACCUCCGCCUCCUGAGUUCAAGCGAUUCUCCUACCUCAGCCUCCUGAGUAGCUGGGAUUACAGCACCAAAUAGGAUGGCAGGCAAGUGCAAUGAUUUCUCCUAGCCUCCUAGGAUGCCUUAAAACUUAGGUGCAGAUUUUCUUACAAUGAUUUGGACUCUGGUGUCUUGAUGUGGUAUCAUCAAUAAGUAGCAGGAUCCUGAAGAGAAACACCUGAAAUGGGAAGCUGGACCAUAGGCCACGAUCAGAAUUAAGUUCAUGGAAAAUAAAGAAAUGUUAAAAAAAAGUUAUUUAGGUAAGUUUUGGAAUAAGAUUUGUGCUUGCUACAUAACGUCCAUUUGUUGAGCACCCUUAUUGCAAGCCUGACGUGUUGCUAAAGCACCUUGUAAGGUUAUUUUUCUUUUCUUUUUGAGACAGGGUCUGACUUUGUCCCCCAAGCUGGUGUGCUGUGGUACAAUACACCCUCAAGCAAUCCUCCCACCUCAGCUUCCCAAUUGGCUGGGGUUACAGAUGCAUGCCACCAUGACUAAUUCUUUUUUUUUGUAGAGACAGGGUCUCCCUGUGUUGCUGAGGCUGGUCUUGAACUCCUGGACUGGAGCAAUCCUCCCACCAGGGCCUCCCAAAUUGCUGGGAUUACAGGUGUGAGCCACCAUGCCCAACAGAUUAUUUUUUAAAAUUCUCACAGUGUUAUGAGGUAGGUACUACGAAAUCUAAUUUGCAAGGAAAGCAACUGAGGCCUGGACACACUGAGUGUCUGGCCUGUAGUUACACAGGCAGUAAAGGCAAAGGUAGGCUCUGAACCCAGAUCUGUGUGACUCCAAAGUCCCCGCCUCUGUGGAGCGUGCUUGGGACUGUGGGUCAGAAGACCUGAGUUGGGAUCCUGGCUUUGCAGGCCUUAGCUCCCGACUCUGGGUAUGUUGAGUCUCCCUAGGCUUCAGUAUCCCCAACUGACAG